rnacentral:lncRNA from 1 species
UUCUGAUACUCGUUAUUUCCUUGCAUAGAUAGAGACUUUAAACUAUUGUAAUUUUCCUUCUGCCUAAAGGAUUUUCUACUUCACAUUUUUGUUCUAUAGAUCUGCUAGAGAUGAAAUUUGAUUUUAAUCUUUCUACUUAAAAUGUUCAUUUAUGGAUUCCAAUUAUAAUGGCUAAUUUAUUGUUCUUUUCCAUUAAUUCUAUUAUCUACAACACUUCUGGGUCAAUUUGAUGGAUUGAUUUUUUUCUCCUCAUAUGGGUUGCAUUUUCUUGUUUCUUUGCAUGCCUGGUAAUUUUUUUAAUGGAGACCAGUCUUUGUGAAUUUUAUCUUAUAGUUUAAAGAUAUUUUCCAUAAAUAAUUCUUAAGCAUUUUUUGGGGAUUCAGUUAGCAGGAGAAAUUUAAUCCUUUCAGGUGUUGUAUUUUAAACUUUUUUAGGCAGGGCCAGAAAAACAUUUCCUAUAGGCCUAGUUUUUCCCAGUAUUGAGGUAAAAACCCUUUUGAGUGUUCUCCCCAGUAUUCCAUAAUCUUGAGUUUUUCCACUACCAGCUGCUGCGACCAGGAACUCUUCUCAGCCCUGUAAGAUAUUCAGAUACUGGUCUCUCAAAUCUUGUCUAGUCAUUUUUUUACCAGCUUCAGUAGCUCCUUCACACAUAAGCAGUGUUUAAUAUGCAUAUGCAGAUAAAGCUUCAGAGGGGCCUUUGAAGAUAUCUGGAGCUUUUUCUAUCUCUGUCUCUCUCUUUCUCAAGAAUCAUUCUUGAGUACUUAAAAAAAUUUUAAGAGAAUGAAUUUUAGGACAUAGAAGAAUCACAAAAUAGAAGCAUUCUAAUGUAAUAGUAAUGUAUAACUGUACAAAAUACCUAGAUGAAAAUAACUUACUAGUUUCUUUUAGUCAAAACGUAUUACUAAAUACAAACUGUUACUUGAUAGUGUUUUAAGCAUUGUGUAAAUGUAUUAGAGAUCAAAAGAGUAGAAAUUUUAACAAUUCACAAUACCACAAGAAAAUUAUAUUAUUUGGGGGAUACAUCACGACUACCAUUUUGUCCCAAUACUUCUCUCUCUCUUCCUCCUCCUCUCUCUCAAUCUCUUUCAACUAGGAUAUUUAUAGAUCAUAAAUGUUCAAAAGUACUCAUUAUUAGAAAAGGAAAAGAGAGGCAAAUUUUAAAAGGAUGAAUCAGAUCUUGGGCCUUUGGACUCAGACUAAAUUAUACCACAGGCUCUCCUGCUUCUCCAGCUUGCAAAUGGCAUUUUGUGAGAAUUCUUGGCCUCCUUAAACUGUAUAAAAGACAAUUCCCAUAAUAAAUCUCCUCAUAUAUAUAUCUAUACA